GCUGGUUGCCUGUGAACGAAUCUAAGUUCCCCCUUAAUUUUACCCACAAGACCAAACCACUUUUCCCGUAGAAAUUAAGAGUAAUUUAAAGGAGGUACAACUCCUUUAAAAAAGAACACAAUCUCUGCUAGAGGAUAAGCCAGUCCACUCCAUACUUGUAGGCCUUCAAGCAGCCAUCAACAAAGAAUGCGUCAAAGCUCUAUACAACAAAAAUAUAAGAACAUAUACGACUCCCUAAUCUAUAACAGGCUAACCUAUCAAAAAUAGGAGCAUUAAUGCUAGAAUAAGUAACCAAGGAAAUUCCUUCUAAAGCACAAACUUACGUACUACAUCAAUUAACAGAACAACUAAUAUUCCAACCACUACAAGACCAGAUAUUAAACACAACUGUUAUACCAACUCAGGAGUGCCUAAAUAGAAAGAUUUAAACCUGUAAAAGGAACUAGGCAAACCCAAGGCCCGACUGUUUACCAAAAACAUAGCCUUCAGCAAACCAAGUAUUGAAGGUGACGCCUGCCCGGUGACACAAAGUUUAACGGCCGCGGUAUCCUAACCGUGCAAAGGUAGCGCAAUCAAUUGUCCCAUAAAUCGAGACUUGUAUGAACGGCCAAACGAGGUCUUAACUGUCUCUUACAGGUAAUCAGUGAAAUUGAUCUCCCCGUGCAAAAGCGGGGAUAAACCCAUAAGACGAGAAGACCCUGUGGAACUUAAAAAACAGCAGCCACUCCAAAUCAAAUUAAACCCACUUGGCCCACUACCAAGGACAACUGGCCUGCAUAUUUUCGGUUGGGGCGACCUUGGAGAAAAGCAUAUCCUCCAAAAACAAGACCACACCUCUUCACCAAGAUCAACAACUCAACGUACUAAUAGUGACCAGACCCAGCAAAGCUGACCAAUGGACCAAGCUACCCCAGGGAUAACAGCGCAAUCCCCUUCAAGAGCUCAUAUCGACAAGGGGGUUUAC
rnacentral:rRNA from 1 species